rnacentral:sRNA from 1 species
UGUUUUAAUGGCUUUUGGAAUAUUAUAGUAUUAACAUCUGGAAAACUAGGUAAAUUUAUCUUAUAAUUAGAAUUAAGUUUUUUGCUCCUUUUUUGCAGAAAAAGAACAGCAAGAAGCGAUUGAACACAUUGAUGAAGUACAAAAUGAAAUAGACAGACUUAAUGAACAAGCCAGUGAGGAGAUUUUGAAAGUAGAACAGAAAUAUAACAAACUCCGCCAACCAUUUUUUCAGAAGAGGUCAGAAUUGAUCGCCAAAAUCCCAAAUUUUUGGGUAACAACAUUUGUCAACCAUCCACAAGUGUCUGCACUGCUUGGGGAGGAAGACGAAGAGGCACUGCAUUAUUUGACCAGAGUUGAAGUGACAGAAUUUGAAGAUAUUAAAUCAGGUUACAGA